UACGGAGGGUGCAAGCGUUAUCCGGAUUCACUGGGUUUAAAGGGUGCGUAGGCGGGUUGGUAAGUCCGUGGUGAAAUCUCCAAGCUUAACUUGGAAACUGCCGUGGAUACUAUCAAUCUUGAAUAUCGUGGAGGUAAGCGGAAUAUGUCAUGUAGCGGUGAAAUGCUUAGAUAUGACAUAGAACACCAAUUGCGUAGGCAGCUUACUACACGAUCAUUGACGCUGAGGCACGAAGGCGUGGGGAGCGAACGGG
rnacentral:rRNA from 1 species